UACGUAGGGGGCGAGCGUUGUCCGGAGUUACUGGGCGUAAAGGGCAUGCAGGCGGUCGGACGCGUUUCGGGUGACAGCGGGUGGCUUAACUACCCGAGUGGUCGAAAGACGGUUGACUUGAGGACGCGAGAGGGACACGGAAUUCCGGGUGGAGUGGUGAAAUGCGUAGAGAUCCGGAGGAACACCGAAGGCGAAGGCAGUGUCCUGGCGCGUAACUGACGCUGAGGUGCGAAAGCCAGGGGAGCGAACGGG
rnacentral:rRNA from 1 species